GACGAACCGUGCAAACGUUAUUCGGAAUCACUGGGCAUAAAGGGCGCGUAGGCGGCUUUCUAAGUCAGGGGUGAAAUCCGGCAGCUCAACUGUCGCAGUGCCUUUGAUACUGGAGAGCUCGAGGGAGGUAGGGGUCUGUGGAACUUCCGGUGGAGCGGUGAAAUGCGUUGAUAUCGGAAGGAACGCCGGUGGCGAAAGCGGCUCACUGGUCCGGUACUGACGCUGAGGCACGAAAGCGUGGGGAGCAAACAGG
rnacentral:rRNA from 1 species